CUACGGGGUGCUGCAGUGAGGAAUAUUGCACAAUGGGGGGAACCCUGAUGCAGCAACGCCGCGUGGAGGAUGACGCAUUUCGGUGUGUAAACUCCCUUUAUAUGUCGAGAAAAUGACGGUAGCAUAUGAAUAAGCACCGGCUAACUCCGUGCCAGCAGCCGCUGUAAUACGGAGGGUGCAAGCGUUACUCGGAAUCACUGGGCGUAAAGGACGCGUAGGCGGGUUGGAAAGUCAGGUGUGAAAUCCUACAGCUUAACUGUAGAACUGCACUUGAAACUUCUAAUCUAGAGUAUGGGAGGGGGAGAUGGAAUUAGUGGUGUAGGGGUAAAAUCCGUAGAUAUCACUAGGAAUACCUAAAGCGAAGGCGAUCUCCUGGAACAUUACUGACGCUAAGGCGUGAAAGCGUGGGGAGCAAACAGGAUUAGAUACCCGCGUAGUC
rnacentral:rRNA from 1 species